CCUACGGGGGGCUGCAGUAGGGAAUUUUCCGCAAUGGGCGCAAGCCUGACGGAGCAACGCCGCGUGAAGGAAGAAGGCCUUCGGGUCGUAAACUUUUGUCUUUGGGGACGAUAAUGACGGUACCCGAGGAGGAAGCCCCGGCUAACUACGUGCCAGCAGCCGCGGUAAUACGUAGGGGGCGAGCGUUGUCCGGAAUUACUGGGCGUAAAGGGCGUGUAGGCGGCCUAAUAAGUCAGGUGUGAAAUUCCAAGGCUUAACCUUGGCGCUGCACUUGAAACUGUUGGGCUUGAGGUCAGGAGAGGGAAGCGGAAUUCCCAGUGUAGCGGUGAAAUGCGUAGAUAUUGGGAGGAACACCAGUGGCGAAGGCGGCUUCCUGGACUGCACCUGACGCUGAGGCGCGAAAGCUAGGGUAGCGAACGGGCUUAGAUACCCCAGUAGUC
rnacentral:rRNA from 1 species